AUAAAUUUAAAAGUUAAAAAGGUCUUUAUUAAAAAAUUUUAGGGGCUAAUUUUUAAAUUAUUAAGGCUUCGUUUGUCACUGUGUUUGCGAAUAAAAAUUGCUAGUUUGCAACACACCCCGAAGAGGACCGUAAAAAAAUUAAUUAUAUAUAUAACCUAAUUAUCAACGGAUAUAGUUAAAAAUAUAUGCAGUUAAAAUACAACAGUUAUAAUUAUAUGUAUUUUAUUUUGUUGGGUAGAGUAAUAAGUGUUAAAAUUAUAAAUAAUUUAUUUAGUUGUGUAUACUUCAGAGACAUAUUUCCAAAAUUUUCGUACUUUAUAUAUGUCGUGGUUAGGGAUGCAAACAGGGCGAAUGCAGGGGUGGGCCACAGAGAGGGGUCCCCCAUCUCCCGCUUCGUUUCAU
rnacentral:lncRNA from 1 species